CAAGCCGCGCGGAUGACGGGAUCAUCCCGACGUCGAAACUGGGCAAUGACCUUAGAAGGAGUGGAGGCCGGGCCUGUCAUCUUCCUGUGGGCCUGGCAGCAGCGUGGGACUGUAGGACAUAUGCUUCGAGGACACUCUUCCUUGUACUUUUAGGUGCACAUCCUCUCCUCCUCCCGGUUGUUCUCACAUUAAAGGAGCACUAGUGGCCCGAUGUGAGGUGGACCCAAUCUAAUCAUCAACUCCUGAAAAAUGGAAAACCUUUUCCACCUGGUCACAGGAAGACAUGACACUGAAAAAGGCUCAGCGGGAGAUGCACUGUUGCUGACUUUGAAGAUUGAGGAUGGCGUCAAGAGCUAAGGAAUGAACAGCACCUCCAGAAGCUAGAAAAGAAAAUGUCUUCCAGAUACACAAGUCUGAAUCACUUCAGGUUGUCCGUCAUAUUUUCAAGAUGGUGGUCUCUGCAAAAAGCAGUUAGUGCAGCUUAUGACUCACAAAAUGACAUAAGUACUUUUCUUGGAAACCAAGAUACUUCAAAUUGUAGCAGAAAUGCUUUAUGCCUAUGUCCCAUGGCAUCACACACAAUAUUAAAAACAGUACAGGAUCGAGGGCAGAGAUUAGAUGGAAUUAAUAAUUUUUACUGCUUUUUUUAGUACUUUCUCAACUAAGACUGUAAUUUUUAAAAAAUCAUCAAUUUCACAGCAGUGAAGAAUGCAGCAUCGACUACUGUUUGGCAUCACAGAGUUUGUUCAUGCUAAGGCGUUAGCAGUUUUACCCAACACUGAUUUUGUUCCAUCAGUGCACAUAUCAACAUAGUAAAAAUGAGUAAUAACAAAGUCUUAAUAUUAUUAUGAAAACCAUUUUGCCCACACAGACCCUGGGGGUCUGCAGAUCACACUUUGAGAAUUGCUUAUUUAUGCCAUUUUAUCUAAGGACAUCUCCACCUUCAUUCCGUAUUUCGAUGACAUGUAGUGCAUAGGCUUAGCAUUUUGGUGUCUGUUUCUGUAAACUAUUACAAAGAUGUGCACACCACUUUAUUGUCAUAUUCUAAUGAGAUUUAUGAAAUUCACAGCAUGUACUUUGUGGAUAAUUUGGCAAACGUUUUUCUUUAAAAAUUGCUUGGCUUUCUCUGUAUUUUCUUAGGUUCUGUGUGCUAGUGUACACAUGUUGAUUUAUGAAGGGAAGUAGUAGCUAUCAGAUGGUUAUUCCCACUUAGCCAGAAAUUACUUUGUUGCUUUGUUGACAGUGAAGAGAAAAGAAGUAAUGCAUACUUCUGGGCAAUACUUUUAGUUUCAUUACAUUUUGUUUGCUUCCACAUCUAAAUUAUAAUAUUGUAUUAUGAAUGCUAAUUAGCAUGCAUCAUUUUUUUCUGGCUUUACAGAUUUUGUUUCUAUGGUAAAGUGAAACACAUUCAUUAAAGAAAACUUAGAUAUUCUAGGCCGGGUGCAGUGGCUUACACCUAUAAUCCAGCACUUUGGGAGGCCAAGGUGGGUGGAUCACAAUGUCAGUAGUUCGAGACCAGCCUGGCCAACAUGGUGAAACCUCAUCUCUGCUAAGAAUACACAAUUACCCAGGCGUUCUGGCACAUGCCUGUAGUCCCAGCUACUCGGGAGG